AAUAGUAAAGCUUUGUUUUGUACAUUUUACCACCAAAAGAGAGAGAGACAGAGAGAGAGAAGCAUAGACUAAAAAUUGGUAGGAAAACUUAAGGAGGCUUAAGCUAUCCCAUCAAAGAUGCCAUAUUGAAAAUUCCUUAGCGAACGGCAAGUGCGGUGUGCUUAGGUGGUCUGGCCUGACAGCCGACCUCAGGCCCCUUCUGCAGCUGCUGCACGCCCUGGGUGACCUCGGGCAGCCUCUCUGGGCCUCACUUCCACCCUCUGGGGAAGGACGUCAUUGGGAGGACUUUCAAGCCUGAGGAGUCAAAUGUCUGGCCCCAGGUCCUUCCAGCCCGCAGGUGGCCGAACCAGAGGCUCUAUGCAAACCUGCAGGGCCCUCCAUCUUGCUUCACCCAAGCUGCCCUCGGCUGAAGCUAGUAGAGGCUGGCCACACAGGCUGCCUGCCAAGAAAGGGACAAGAUGGUCUUAAUGAGCGUUUGCUCUGUGCUGGACAUGGAUGCAUACCUUGAUUCUCAGGGCAGCUCUGAGGGUGAGGGAUGGUUACCCAUUUUACAGAUGAGGAAGUGUGGGGGCAUGAGUCAGGAUUCCAUGAUAGACACAGAACAGAGGAGGGAGGGAGAAAGGUAGAUUGAUGGAGCUGAGCCAGUCUGGAAUCCGGGGAGCAGGCCCCAGGAAGGGCAGGCUGGAGCUCAGGCCGGCGCUGACACUGGCAGAAUGUCUUCACAGAAACCUCAGUUCUGCUCUUCAAGCCUUUCCACCAGAUUCUAUCAAGCCCACCCAGGCCCGGCAGGAUCAUCUCUACCUAAGGGCAGCUGGUGUAGGUGUUAAUUACAUCCACCAAAUACCAUCGAAGCAACACCUUGAUUGCUGUUUGUGUAACUGGGUCCCGCAAGUGACCAUCACCGUGGGCCCAGGUGACUCACCUCAGGUCCCCAGGCGAGAAGGCAGCAGAACUGGGAUCACCGGGUCUUUGCAGCUUCUCAAAACUUCUACCCAUUGCCAGGCCCCUACAGAGUGACAUGCUGGAAAGAGCAUCAGCUUUGGGAGACAGGUGACACUGGGUACCGACUGCCACCCCGCCACUCAGUGACCCCGGACAGACUGCUUCUGCAGGAGCCCAGCCCCUGCAGGGUGGGCAGAGCAGUGGGGAAGGUUCCAGGGAGUCUGCCUGGAACCUCUGGCAUGGUGCCUGCCCCAUGGGGGUGUUUGCUUCUUCUCCACUCUCUCCUUCCUGCUCUGAGUAGCUCUGUCCCCUGCCCUGGCACUAACACCUCUCUCUCUCGCCUCUGCCACCAGCAACAUAAAACUGCAGUAUAAAGGGGAGAAGCCGUUCCAGCCAGUGACAUGGUCACUGUACCCUCAGCCCAAGCUGCUGGAGCAGGGGCCUACUGAGCUGCUGACGCUUACGCCCUGGUUGGCGCCCAUCGUCUCCGAGGGAACCUUUGACCCUGAGCUUCUGCAACACAUCUACCAGCCGCUGAACCUGACCAUCGGGGUCACAGUGUUUGCCGUGGGGAAUGCAGGCAGGCAUGAAGGACUGGAAACACUCAAGACCACCUCACAGAACUGGGGGUCCAUGGUCAGGCCACAGGUAGGUCAAGCCCCACCCUCAGGACCCUCUCCCCUCUCCCCACCCUGGGCCUGCCUACUCUCUGGAUACCUCCUGUUUUCCUCUCCUCCCCCUCACCCCACCUAGCCUUGCCUUGAAAAGGCCUGGCAGCCUCCCCCUGCGUCUCUUUCUGGGACUCCCGAGGGAGAAACCACGGUGGGACCCCAAUACUGCAAGUGCUAGCCAGAUGAUGGGUGGCCCGCCUGGGUCAGGUUCCAUCGGCUUUGACCUGGGGGUGGGGUGUGGCCUGCAGUUUCCUCCAGCUGGGCCCCAAGCCCCCAGCACCACUCACCUCACCUUGAUGCAGCCACUUAGCCUGCCAUGUGGUCACUUUCCUCUCGCUGAGCCUCAGUGUCUUUGCCUCUAAAAUGGGGAUUAUGGGGAGGGCGCGUGGCUGGCUCGGUCAGCGAA